AUGAGUAUUUUAUAUUAAAGUGUAAAAGUGGUUUUUUUUUAACAAUAGUCAUAAUGUUAUGAAUAAUAAAAAACUGUACUACUAUUGUUUAUCCUUGAGUUAAUCAUUUUCAUAGUUCAUUGUGAAUUGUUUUGAAGUGUCCUUAGAAUUCCUAUCACUCAUCAUGCUCGUCAUUCUGAGAAAAAAAACAUGGUUGGAAUAGACGUUAUUAAAUUAGUUAUCUCCCCUUAGACAUUUAUUUAAAGUUCAGUAAUCUCCCCUUAGGCAUUUAUUUAGAAUUUAGCAAUCUCCUCUUAGAUAUUUAUUUUUGAUUAAAGUUUGUUAUACGAUCAAUAUUUCCAAUUGCAAGUGCUUCUGUAAUUUUUUUCUCCAUAAGGUUUUUAAUGGACAUAUUUUUUUGAAAAAAAUUGUGUGCAACUCCAGGAAGUAGUAACUGGGCAUGCUCAUAACCAUCAAAAAAGGUCUGCUGACUUAUUUUUUAGUUGUCAUGUGAUUGUGAUCAUUAUGAGGUAUAAGGAGCCUUACAUUCUGAAGAAAAUAUAAAUGUCUUGACUUCUUAAGGUCUUAGUGGACUGUUGUUUUUAUAAUUAAUAAACUAAACCUGCCAAAAGUUUAAUAUAUUUUGGUUGUUGAAAAAUAAAUUUUAUUAUUGAAGAUGAACAAUAUUUUUUUUUCUCUACUUAUUGUGAUUUAUGAAGAUGAUAUAUUGUCAAAAUGAAGAAAUGAUAAACUUGUCAAUCACCGUCAGAAACUGAAAGAUAAUUAUCUAAAUUUAUAAAUUAAAUUUCAAAAUAUACAGGAGAAAUAAGAUUAUUAGGUGUUU
rnacentral:lncRNA from 1 species